UAGACCCGCACGAACGCAUCACUCCUCCAGAUUGUACGCCCCAUCCCGUCGUAUUCCCUCCCAACUCCGGCCUCUGUCUCCGGUCGCCGGAGCCGACCUACCUUCUCCUGUCUCCCAUACAUCCGAAGCUACAACCCGCGCUGGGGCCGGCCCCGUUCACCGGCUGAUCGGCGCGCUUGCCCGUGUCGCGGCCCUACUCACUGGCGCCCCCAUCUCAGCCAUGGUCCCUGUUCGUCGGCGCGCUCCGCCCCAGCACGUUCCUGUUCGCUGGCGAGCUCACCCCAGCACGUCCCUGCUCGCCAGCGCGCUCCGCCCCAGCACGUCACUGCUCGCCAGCGCGCUCCGCUCCAGCACGUCCCUGCUCGCCAGCGCGCCCUCGCCGGCGCCCUCCGCCCCAGCAUGUCCCUGUUCGCCGGCGAGCUCGUCCCAGAUUCGUCCCUCGUUGGCCUACUCCUCUUAGACCAGUCGUGCCGCCGUGCCGUGGUCAGGAGAGUCCCCUCCUGUGGCGAUACAGCCGGGCCUCCUAUGCCGAACGCCGGCAGGCCGUUCCCCGCUCGGAUUCGGUAAGGAUUGAGGUCAAGAUCUCACCGCUGUGGAUGGCUCACAAAUGGAACUGGAUAACGGGGCUGGAGAGACGAGUGGCCAGGGGGAUUGGGAUUUAGAUGGAGCUACAGCCUCUGCUAGGGAGAAGCUCAGGUGCUCAGGGAAAAGGUCAGGGAGGCAUAUCGUCCGUGCGCCUCCUGGUCAGAGGCGACCUCGAGCGCGCCCCGCCGGCUGGUGCUCCUCCGCCACACCCAACAGUUUCUCCUCUCCCCGCGUGUGCAGGGCAACACUGACCACGAUGAUUCGGGCCUAACUGGUGUGCUAUAUCCUGUAAUCCUGUUCGCCCAGGCUGCUGGGCCGGAGUGCAUCAUGCCCAGUCAGCAGGCUCCGUUGCGGCUCAUGAGGAUCAAGGGAAGGUACAUAUGAGAAUGGGGUGGAGAGGCACGCGGCCAAGCAAAAGGCACCUACGAAUUGGGUCCUGUGCACUUUCUCUGAUAUUUUAGAGCUUAUUCCAUUCCAUAAGUAUGUCAUUAUCGUAUUUGGCCAUGCUGACAAUGUAGAAGGCAUGCCGUUUGCUAAUUCUCCCUGCAAGCAUGCAAAGCUUGGUUCGCUUCCAAAUCAACAAGGAGCAUAUGAAGAAGUUUCUACAUACUACAGAGAUAGGUCAUAUCCUACCAGAAUAUCAAAGUCCGCCUACCACCUCUGGUUUGUGUUGCACUUUCAUCUCCUUCCCCUCAAUUUAUGUGUGGCCAUCUGGUUAUGUAUUCUGAUGAAUGAGCACUAUGUGUCUAUGUUGUUUUUUUUGUCUUUACGGUUUGUAGAAGAAAUGCAUUGCUAUUGAUUUCUGCCUCGUG